UACGAAGGGGACUAGCGUUGUUCGGAUUUACUGGGCGUAAAGCGCGUGUAGGCGGCCACGCAGGUCCGUUGUGAAAACUAGAGGCUCAACCUCUAGACGUCGACGGAAACCGUGUGGCUAGAGUCCGGAAGAGGAGAGUGGAAUUCCUGGUGUAGCGGUGAAAUGCGCAGAUAUCAGGAAGAACACCAAUGGCGAAGGCAGCUCUCUGGGACGGUACUGACGCUGAGACGCGAAAGCGUGGGGAGCAAACAGG
rnacentral:rRNA from 1 species